GACGAACGCUGGCGGCGUGCCUAACACAUGCAAGUCGAGCGGAAAUAUUCUGAAGAGUAAUCGGAAGGAUAUUUUAGCGGCGGACGGGUGAGUAACACGUGGGCAACCUGCCCUGUACAGGGGGAUAACACUGGGAAACUAGUGCUAAUACCGCAUGAUACGCGAAGAUGGCAUCAUUUUUGCGUCAAAGGAGAAAUCCGGUACAGGAUGGGCCCGCGUCCGAUUAGCUAGUUGGUGAGGUAAUGGCUCACCAAGGCGACGAUCGGUAGCCGGAUUGAGAGGUUGAACGGUCACAUUGGGACUGAGACACGGCCCAGACUCCUACGGGAGGCAGCAGUGGGGAAUAUUGCACAAUGGGGGAAACCCUGAUGCAGCGACGCCGCGUGAAGGAGAAGGUCUUCGGAUUGUAAACUUCUUUGAUUGGGGACGAAAUAUGACGGUACCCAAGGAACAAGCCACGGCUAACUACGUG
rnacentral:rRNA from 1 species